AUGUUGGAGCACGCCCCAGAGGUGAGGCAGGUGAGGCAGCCACUCAGCAAAUACCUACUCAGAUGUGAGGAGCACAGAGGAGGGUCUCACUCCAGGAUGCUCCACUGGCGGAGAAGACGUGUUGCUGAGCUUGGGGAACUGCCUCCCGGGAACCUGGAAGCACAAGGUGAGGGUCAGCCCUCCAGCCCCCCUUCUCUCUCCCACGCUGGACUAGAGCUUGAUUAGAAGCAGAAAAGGACAGACUGCCAGGGCAAGAGCUGAGGGCAUCAGGGAAGAGAAGGGUUUUGGCAAGGGAUAUGGAGAGCCUAUAGGGAUGGGACUCCUAGAGACCUGUGAUGACCUGGGAAUCUGGCUGAGGGCCCCACGAGCCACUUCAGGAAGGCCUUAGGGAGUGGUUAGGACUACUGGAGGAGGGGGAACCUUAAGGCCUUUUGGGUCUCUGAUUGUGAUAGGUCUCAGCCCUGUCCUAUUAUACCCAGCUCUCACUAAAUGAUCAUGAAACUCCUCUUUCCUGUGAUUCUCCCAUAGUAGGCUUGAGUCCCUACCAUGCAGCUCUUAGGUCAUUUCUGGGCACCUGUACCAUGCCCAGUGACUCCUCUGCAGGGGCUGAAUAGGCUGUCUGCUCCAGAAGUCUGCUGGGCCUGAAAUCUACUCUGUACAUGGCAUCUAAGGGGCUUUGUACAUGGUUCAGUCCCUGCUGGGACUGAUGCGAUUCCAUUUGGCUACUUAGCUAAGUACAGAAACAAGACAGGUGUCUGGGAAGCCCAAUCCUUUCAGUCUCCCAGGCUUUAUGGAUAGUACUGACCUCUGCUUAGAGGGUGGAGCCAACACUUUUGGGAGGGGCCAGAGGCCACCCAGGGAAAGAGAUGGUGCCAGCCAUCCCAUCUGAGGAUUCAUGCCUGCCCUCUCAGUCUAUCGUCCUGCUGAGUGUCUGCAGCAUCUGUUAGUUGGAGCUCAUGUCUGGCUCCCUAUCUGUGUGCUUCCCUUUGCCUGGGCUUUUCCACCGGCCUGUGUCUUUCAAGUCCUUGGCCCCUCAAACCCAGUCUCCCUAGCCUUUCCAUGUGUGCUACAUAGGGAGAUUUAUCCCUGACUCCUGCUCUAAGUCUUUUGUCCUUAGUUUCCAGUCUUGGCAUCUAAGAGAUCUAUAGCCAUGGCCAUCCAGGAACCCUGGGGCACCCCUGGUGGGAUCAAGUGUGAGAUGGAGUACGGGGAGUGUGACACUGGU
rnacentral:lncRNA from 1 species